rnacentral:rRNA from 1 species
GACGUAGGGCGCGAGCGUUGUCCGGAUUUAUUGGGCGUAAAGAGCUCGUAGGCGGCUUGUCGCGUCGAAUGUGAAAACCUGCAGCUCAACUGCAGGCUUGCAUUCGAUACGGGCAGGCUCGAGUUCGGUAGGGGAGACUGGAAUUCCGGGUGUAGCGGUGGAAUGCGUAGAGAUCCGGAAGAACACCGGUGGCGAAGGCGGCGACCUGGUCCUUGACUGACGCUGAGGCGCGAAAGCGUGGGGAGCAAACAGG